CGACUGCUAAUACCGAAUGUGCCUUUAGGGGUGAAAGAUUUAUUGUCUAAAGAUUGGCUCGCGUCAGAUUAGCUAGUUGGAGUGGUAACGGCACACCAAGGCGACGAUCUGUACUUGGUCUGAGAGGAUGACCAGGCACACUGGAACUGAGACACGGUCCAGACUCCUACGGGAGGCAGCAGUGGGGAAUUUUCCGCAAUGGGCGCAAGCCUGACGGAGCAAUACCGCGUGAGGGAGGACAGCUUUUGGGUUGUAAACCUCUUUUAUUAGGGAAGAAAUGAUGACGGUACCUAAUGAAUCAGCAUCGGCUAACUCCGUGCCAGCAGCCGCGGUAAUACGGAGGAUGCAAGCGUUAUCCGGAAUUAUUGGGCGUAAAGCGUCCGUAGGUGGCUGAACAAGUCUUUUGUCAAAUCGUGCAGCUUAACUGCAUACAGGCAGGAGAAACUGUUUAGCUAGAGUGCGAUAGGGGUCACAGGAAUUCCCAGUGUAGCGGUGAAAUGCGUAGAUAUUGGGAAGAACACCAGCGGCGAAAGCGUGUGACUGGGUCUGCACUGACACUGAGGGACGAAAGCUAGGGGAGCGAAAGGGAUUAGAUACCCCUGUAGUCCUAGCCGUAAACGAUGACAACUAGGUGUGGUUCGUAUCGACCCGAGCCGUGCCGUAGCCAACGCGUUAAGUUGUCCGCCUGGGGAGUACGCACGCAAGUGUGAAACUCAAAGGAAUUGACGGGGGCCCGCACAAGCGGUGGAGUAUGUGGUUUAAUUCGAUGCAACGCGAAGAACCUUACCAAGGCUUGACAUCCUGCGAACCCUGAUGAAAGUUAGGGGUGCCUUCGGGAGCGCAGAGACAGGUGGUGCAUGGCUGUCGUCAGCUCGUGUCGUGAGAUGUUGGGUUAAGUCCCGCAACGAGCGCAACCCACGUUUUUAGUUGCCAUCAGGUAAUGCUGGGCACUCUAGAGAGACUGCCGGUGACAAACCGGAGGAAGGUGUGGAUGACGUCAAGUCAGCAUGCCCCUUACGCCUUGGGCUACACACGUACUACAAUGCGUUGGACAAAGGGCAGCCAGCCAGCGAUGGUGCGCCAAUCCCAUAAACCAACGCUCAGUUCAGAUUGCAGGCUGCAACUCGCCUGCAUGAAGGCGGAAUCGCUAGUAAU
rnacentral:rRNA from 1 species